GAUGAACGCUGGCGGCGUGCCUAAUACAUGCAAGUCGAGCGAACGGACGAGAAGCUUGCUUCUCUGAUGUUAGCGGCGGACGGGUGAGUAACGCGUGGAUAACCUACCUAUAAGACUGGGAUAACUUCGGGAAACCGUAGCUAAUACCGGAUAAUAUUUUGAACCGCAUGGUUCAAAAGUGAAAGACGGUCUUGCUGUCACUUAUAGAUGGAUCCGCGCUGCAUUAGCUAGUUGGUAAGGUAACGGCUUACCAAGGCAACGAUGCAUAGCCGACCUGAGAGGGUGAUCGGCCACACUGGAACUGAGACACGGUCCAGACUCCUACGGGAGGCAGCAGUAGGGAAUCUUCCGCAAUGGGCGAAAGCCUGACGGAGCAACGCCGCGUGGGUGAUGAAGGUCUUCGGAUCGUAAAACUCUGUUAUUAGGGAAGAACAUAUGUGUAAGUAACUGUGCACAUCUUGACGGUACCUAAUCAGAAAGCCACGGCUAACUACGUG
rnacentral:rRNA from 1 species